AGAUGGAAAAGGUCCAUCCACUUGGCCAAGUGGCUAGUGGUUGGAUAUUGGAUACGGGCACAAGUUCCACACUCACUAAACCAUUUCAUCGUUUUUAGUUAUAUAAAACGGGCUUUCGAUUUUGUUAUGAUUUUUUUUUACUCAAUCAUUUGAAUAAAUUAUUCCUGCAUGUUGGAUUUGCCAGGGAGGAUAAGAUUUUGUGGCUUGUUGAUGAGAGUAGGUUCAAGCCAUUUCUACAUAUUCUACUUCAAGGAUCAAUGGAUGUGGGAGACAGUGUAGAAAAUAACUAGAUGCAAGUUCUUAGUGAAAUUCAACGUGUGGACCUUUGGACAUGUGACAAUAUUUGAAUGGAUUGAAGAAUCCUAAUGUAAGCUCCUAAGGGCUGGAACACAGGGAAAAUAUCUACCUGCAAAAGACUAUUCGACGCUCAGGUUAGUAAGAGAGUUUGAAUCUUUAGAUUAAGAGAGAAUGAGUAUGAGAGAGUGUCUAUAUUACUUGGGAAUACUAUAUGUAUUUAUAGGUCUUUUGGACCUUGGAUUGGAUCCAUGUGAUAAAACAGUAAUGUAAUAUUGACCGAUUGGAUCCAUGUGACUUUUGAUGGGUUUAUAUUUUAUCACAUGAGUUAUGGUUCUGAUACCACUAA